rnacentral:rRNA from 1 species
UCGUAGUGACCUGCGGAGGAUCAUUAUUGAUUGUAAACUGUUGCCCUCUGUGCUGGCUCCUGCAAGUGCACGUUGGUGACUUUCAUUCCAAUACCCCUGUGAACCUUUGGCCUCUUGCUAGCUUCCGCUGGCAGAGGAUUCUACAUACAAACUCGAAUGUAAUGAAACUCUUGUUGUGCACAAGCACUACUAUAUACAACUUUCAACAACGGAUCUCUUGGCUCUCGCAUCGAUGAAGAACGCAGCGAAAUGCGAUAAGUAAUGUGAAUUGCAGAAUUCAGUGAAUCAUCGAAUCUUUGAACGCACCUUGCACCCUUUGGCAUUCUGAAGGGUAUGCUCGUUUGAGUGUCAUUGUACUCUCACACUUCCGAUCUUGCAUUGGGAGCGGUGGACUUGGGUUUGCUGCUUUACCGUAGCUUACCUCAAAUGUGUUAGUGCAGCUCUUGGUUGGACAUAAUACGGCGUGAUAAGUAUCUUCGCCGGUGCCUCGCAAGAGGGUGGCCGAUCAGGAUGGUGUGCUCCAAACCGUCUUCGGACAAUCUCUGACAACUUGACCUCAAAUCGAGUAAGACUACCCGCUGAACUUAAGCAUAUCAAUAAGCGGAGGAAAAGAAACUAACAAGGAUUCCCCUAGUAACGGCGAGUGAAGAGGGAAGAGCUCAAAUUUUGAAUCUGGCGUCUUUGGCGUCCGAU